rnacentral:rRNA from 1 species
GCCAACAAGGCCUUUACUGACGCUAAAGCUCGAAGGUGCGGGUAUCGAACAGGAUUAGAUACCCUGGUAGUCCGCACGGUAAACGAUGGAUGCCCGCUGUUCGCGAUAUACGGUGAGCGGCCAAGAGAAAUCGUUAAGCAUCCCACCUGGGGAGUACGCCGGCAACGGUGAAACUCAAAGGAAUUGACGGGGGCCCGCACAAGCGGAGGAACAUGUGGUUUAAUUCGAUGAUACGCGAGGAACCUUACCCGGGCUUGAACUGCAGGAGAAGGAUACAGAGAUGUUGACGCCCUUCGGGGCUCCUGUGGAGGUGCUGCAUGGUUGUCGUCAGCUCGUGCCGUGAGGUGUCGGCUUAAGUGCCAUAACGAGCGCAACCCUUUUCGUCAGUUGCCAUCAGGUGAUGCUGGGCACUCUGGCGACACUGCCACCGUAAGGUGUGAGGAAGGUGGGGAUGACGUCAAAUCAGCACGGCCCUUACGUCCGGGGCUACACACGUGUUACAAUGGGGCAUACAGAAGGCCGGUCGCCCGCAAGAGCGAUCCAAUCUAAAAAGUGUCCCUCAGUUCGGAUUGGGGUCUGCAACCCGACCCCAUGAAGCUGG